GAUGAAGAACGCAGCAAAAUGCGAUAAGUAAUGUGAAUUGCAGAAUUCAGUGAAUCAUCGAAUCUUUGAACGCACAUUGCGCCCGCUGGUAUUCCGGCGGGCAUGCCUGUUCGAGCGUCAUUUCAACCCUCAAGCCCCCGGGUUUGGUGUUGGGGAUCGGCUCUGCCCUUCUGGGCGGUGCCGCCCCCGAAAUACAUUGGCGGUCUCGCUGCCGCCUCCAUUGCGUAGUAGCUAACACCUCGCAACUGGAACGCGGCGCGGCCAUGCCGUAAAACCCCAACUUCUGAAUGUUGACCUCGGAUCAGGUAGGAAUACCCGCUGAACUUAAGCAUAUCAAUAAGCGGAGGA
rnacentral:misc_RNA from 1 species